rnacentral:misc_RNA from 1 species
UAAAAACUCACUAAUUAAGAACUCGUGACACACCUUUGACGUUUCAUCGGAGCAUAGCCUCUAAUUCAAAGUCGAACACAACCCUGACGUUUACGAAUACUAAUGAUGACAUGUAAUUGUAAAUAUUCCUUUAUUCAGGUAAUUGCAUUCUUGGUCUCGAAAUCGAAGACAGUCGGAGGAUCAGAGGCGACAGUCUUCAGGCAUAUGCAAUUUUUGGGAUGGACAAUAGAUUUAAGCAACAGCGAAACUACUUGUCAAAUUUAUUUGAAUAUAGAUGCAACGUCUGGUUGGAAAAUGCAGCUAAGGUGAUUCAAUAGUUCAUGAGCAAAUUGGAAGAACAAGAGAGAAUUGAUGACAGUUCGCAAUGGGUUGGAUCAAUUAUAAUACCU